rnacentral:lncRNA from 1 species
GGAAGAACCAAAGUCUUCCCCUUGUCAUCAGUCAUCCCCUAAAGGGUUGUCCCCUUUAGUCCCCCCUAAAGGGGAAGACGAUGCUCCCCUUCUUCCCCUUUAGGGGAGUUCAUCCCCUAAAGGGGAACUAAAGGGGUUCCCCUUUGUUCCCCUUUAGGGGAUGGGGUAAGAAACCAAAGAGCCCAAAGGGAACCCAAAGGCAUCCCCUUUGUUCCCCUUUAGGGGAUGAAGAACAAGAAGAAGACAACCAAAGGGUUUCUUUUUUUUUGUCCCUACUUUGGUUUUCGUAAGGGAAUGACUUCCCCUUCUUGUUCUUCUUCUUCUUCUUCCCCUUUAGGGGAAGAACUAAAGUUCCCCUUUAGAGGAAGAACCCCUUCUUCCCCUUUAGUUCCCCUUUAGGGGAAGACUUCUUCCCCUUUAGUUCUUCCCCUUUAGGGGAAGAACUAAAGGGGAACUAAAGUUCAUCCCCGAAGGGGAACAUCCCCUAAAGGGUUGUCCCCUUUAGUGUUCGUCCCCUUUAGUGUUCUUCGUCUUCUUUAGUUCCCCUAAAGGGGAUGAACCAAAGUCUCUUCUUCUUCCCCUUUAGGGGACUCCGUCUUCUUUAGUUCCCCUAAAGGGGAUGAAGAAGUGCUCCCCUAAAGGGGAAGAACACACCCCUUUAGUUCAUCCCCGAAGGGGAACCCCUUCGUCUCCGUCCCCUUUAGUUCCCCUAAAGGGGAUGAAGAAGGGGAACACUUCUUCAUCCCCUUUAGGGGAACCGAAGGGGGAAGUCAUCUUCUUCGGUUCCCCUAAAUGGGACGAACACCAAAGGGGUGUUCCCCUUCUUCAUCCCCUUUAGGGGAACUAAAGGGGACGGAGACGAAGGGGUUCCCCUAAAGGGGAAGAACUCCCCUACGGUGUGUUCUUCCCCUUUAGGGGAACCCCUUCUUCCCCUUUAGGGGAAGAAGAAGAGACUUUGGUUCGUCCCCUUUAGGGGAACCAAAGGGGAAGAAGAAGGGGUGUGUUCUUCCCCUUUAGGGGAACCCCUUCUUCAUCCCCUUUAGGGGAACUAAAGAAGACGGAGUCCCCUAAAGGGGAAGAAGAAGAGACUUUGGUUCGUCCCCUAAAGGGGAACCAAAGGGGAAGACGAAGAAGAAGACUUCGUCUUCUUUAGUUCCCCUUUAGGGGAUGAACUAAAGGGGAAGAAGAAGACGUCCCCUUUAGUUCCCCUUUAGGGGAUGAAGACGAAGGGGACCAACGACUGUAGUUUAAUCUAUUAAACUAGUAGCUCUAACGUAUUUAAAACUACACACUGGUUUAGCGAAGCCAAUCAUCUGGCCUAGGCCGGACCAUUUCACAACUCUUGUGCCCAAGCCAACCAUAUGCAACCAUAGGCGUGAGUCGAACAAACGAGGGCUAGGCCCUAAAGUCAG